GUUGUUUAGUUUUUGUGGGUUUUUGUUGUCAUUCCUAUUACAAUGAUGAUGAUGCUGCUGGUGAUUGUUGGUGGCUGGGGGCGUUUCUGCUGCAGGUAGAGUUCAUUGUGGGGUAAAAAGGAAGAGUACUGUGUGAGUGAUUGAUGUUUUGUUUGUCCUCUUUUGCUUUCUCGUCGGGGCGGGGAUCAUUGGUUUGAAUAUGGCAAAUCGAAUUUUGGAGGAUACCAGGUUUCUGUUAUUGUCGUGGAUGCGAAGCGGGCGUGCACUGGCGCUACUGGAGCUGGGCAGGGAUACGUCUGGUUGAAGCACCGCAAUCCAGCAGGCAAGACGUGGCGGUUGCUUCACCGCAGCAAGCUUUUGUGGGAGCAGCUGGUUGCAGAUUUAGUUGCUAUGCUUGGGUUCUUCUGCAGUGGUUCUCAAUCUCUUCAUUAUGUAUAUGAAAUUUGUUAUGUGAUCUUGUCUGUUGCAGUUGAAAUAUUGUAUUCCAUUUUGUUGUGUACAGUGUCACCAUAUUAUUUGUUAUCAAAUUCCAUUGUCAUUAUGUUAUUAUUUUCUGAUAUUGAAUAUUAAUAUGAUGGAUUGAGUGGAAUCGUUCCUCUUUCUUUUCUUUUGCAAAUCUUUGUCAAUUUCAAAGAGACAUCUGAAUUGGUGUUAUUGUGAGGCUCAUACUUGUUUUAUUCUUAUCUCUCCUUUUGUUUUCUCAAUUUGACUAGUAAUGACAAUUGCAGAGUCCUGAUGCUGCGUCGACACUUGCAGAGUUCCUAACAUCACAAUGUUAUCCAUCUUUUCUUUGGUGCCUAUUGUAGCAGCAUUUGCACGUGGGCAAGACAAUAGAGAUAAAGGAAAGAGGAGAAGAAGCAGCAGGAGUAGGCACGGAAGACGCACAUGUCGACGCAGCAUAUCGAAAUCACGCAGUGGAUGAUCACGAAUGAAGCUGCCAAUUGCAAGAAAACUUGUUCACGGAGUAAAAAGACGAUGUCGAAGGUUAUUUGUAGUCAGGGACUCAAACUAGCAAAACAGGUGGUAUGGCACAUUGGUGUGGCAAAUUGGUGGACAAUUUUGAUUGGUACCAGAAGGCAAGAGUGAAGUUCUACUCAACGUUAUUGGUGGAACUUGACAAGUAUGUUGGCAAUGCUAGACAUCUUGUCUUUUGCCUCCAAUACAUUAGCAAUUGUAAGGUCAUUGUAGAGAGGAUCAACUAUCUUUGGAUGCAACACUUCAUGCAGGCCAAAACAUUACAAGGCAAAUGCAAAUCGGUAAGCUUAUGAUUAAUAUAGUGCAACUGGCACACAUCAAAUAAGAGAGCAUGUUUCAUUUGAAACUCCUUAGAUGUCACUUAUGCAAUAUUUUAUAAAGUAUAUUUAAAGUUGAUUGAUGUUA